ACAGUUAAAGCAUUUUUACUGCGUUUGAAUACUACAGCAUGGAAUAACAAAAUUGAACAAGCCAGAAUUCUGUUCUUUUUUCUUAUUUUGGCUUAGUUACGAUUAAUAGGAGUAGCUUGGGGGCAUUUGUAUUCAGAUGUCAGAGGUGAAAUUCUUAGAUUUUCUGGAGACAAACAACUGCGAAAGCAUUUGCCUAAAAUAUUUCCAUUAAUCAAGAACGAAAGUUAAGGGAGUGAAGACGAUCAGAUACCGUCGUAAUCUUAACCAUAAACUAUACCAACUAGGUUUUGGAUGAAAAGUUUUUAAAUAAGAGAAUUCCUUUCGGGGAAAUUUCUUAGAUUGCUUCUUUCAGUACCUUAUGAGAAAUCAAAGUCUUUGGGUUCUGGGGCGAGUAUUCGCGCAAGCGAGAAAGUUAAAAGAAUUGACGGAAGGGCACCACCAGGCGUGGAGCUUGCGGCUUAAUUUGACUCAACACGGGGAAACUCACUAGUUUAAGACAAGAGUAGGAUUGACAGAUUAAUAGCUCUUUCUUGAUUUCUUGGAUGGUGAUGCAUGGCCGUUUUUAGUUCGUGAAUAUGAUUUGUCUGGUUAAUUCCGAUAACGAACGAGAUCUUAACCUGCUAAUUAGCGGCGAAUACGUUAUAUUCUUAUGUGAAAUUGAAUAUAGCUGAAUU
rnacentral:rRNA from 1 species